UGCAUGUAGUCAAAAGGGAAUGAGGUUCAUAUUCCUCAAGCUGGAUGUGGGAGCUAUGUGGUAACACAAACAAGCUCGGAGACAUCGGUAUGUGCAACUGGAAGAGUUCUCUUUUCUUCUUAACAGUCUAUCUCCCUGAACGGAUUAUCCAGAGCUAGGAUAUAUGGCUGGCAGAGCAGUUCUCCAUUGAAUUGUCAGUGAAGCUCAUAACGAUCCUUGAAAAUCCGAGUAAGAUUAUCUCAUCACACCAGGUCGUACCCAUAACCGCAUCAGGUCUCCAAGGUUAGCAGCCUCUGGUCGAUAGAAUAACGUAGAUAAGGGAAUUCGGCAAAUUAGAUCCGUAACUUCGGGAAAAGGAUUGGCUCUGAGGGUUGAGUGUGGUGCCAAUGAAAUGGAACUAGGAUCUGUACUGGUGUUGGUCGCAAGAUCGAAACCGGCAUGGAGAGAAGGAAAAUUUUUGCGGCUAGCACAAUUAACGACCGACUCAGAACUGAAGCGGACAAGGGGAAUCCGACUGUUUAAUAAAAACAUAGCUUUGUGAUGGCCUCAAAAGGUGUUGACACAAAGUGAUUUCUGCCCAGUGCUUUGAAUGUGAAUAUGAAGUAAUUUAUAGAAGCUCAGGUAAACGGCGGGAGUAACUAUGACUCUCUUAAGGUAGCCAAAUGCCUCGUCAUCUAAUUAGUGACGCGCAUGAAUGGAUUAAUGAGAUUCCCACUGUCCCUAUCUACCAUCUAGCGAACCCAUAGCCAAGGGAACGAGCUUGGAAUAAUCAGCGGGGAAAGAAGACCCUGUUGGGCUUGACUCUAGUCCGACUUUGUGAAAUGACUUUCGAGAUAUAGCCUAAGUGGGAGUUAACGCGCCGCUGUAAAACCACUGCUCGCUUAGCCAUUUUACUUACUCCAUGAAGAAGUGGCCGAUUUUUCGGUUCUUAGAUUUAAGCCCUGACUCGUAUCAGGGCAAGCUUUGUGGAGGACACAGUCAGGUGGGGAGUUUGACUGGGGCGGUACAUCUGUUAAAACGUAACGCAGGUGUCCUACGGUGAGCUCAAAGAGAACAGAAAUCUCUUGUAGACCAAAAGGGGAAAAGCUCACUUGAUUUUGAUUUUCAGUACUAAUACAAACCGCGAAAGCGUGGCCUAUCGAUCCUUUAACUUUACAAGUUUUAAGCUAGAGGUGUCAGAAAAGUUACCACGGGGAUAACUGGCUUGUGGCAGCCAAGCGCCCAUAGCGACGUUGCUUUUUGAUCCUUCGAUGUCGGCUCUUCCUAUCAUUGUGAUGUACAAGCCACAACGU
rnacentral:rRNA from 1 species